GAUGAACGCUGGCGGCGUGCUUAACACAUGCAAGUCGAACGAUGAAGCCCAGCUUUCUUGGUGUAUUAGUGUCGAACGGGUGAGUAACACGUGAGUAACCUGCCCUUCACUCUGUGAUAAGCCCGGUGAACUGGGUCUCUUACACUAUAUGAGCGCCGGUUGCAUGACGGGUGUUUGUAAGAUGUUUCGGUCAUGGAUGGACUCGCGGCCUAUCAGCUUGUUGGUGAGGUAAUGGCUCACCAAGGCGACGACGGGUAGCCGGCCUGAGAGGGCGACCGGCCACACUGGGACUGAGACACGGCCCAGACUCCUACGGGAGGCAGCAGUGGGGAAUAUUGCACAAUGGGCGGAAGCCUGAUGCAGCGACGCCGCGUGAGGGAUGACGGCCUUCGGGUUGUAAACCUCUUUCAGCAGGGAAGAAGCGAAAGUGACGGUACCUGCAGAAGAAGCACCGGCUAACUACGUG
rnacentral:rRNA from 1 species